CACAGUUGGAAUUGGGAACUACACAUGGGCACAGCUUACAGGUGGAAUGAUGACUCACACCUGAAGAUAUUUUGACCUUUGUAGUCUUAGGGCAAAAACUAAGGUCCUGUGUCUUCAACUUGUAGGAUGGUCACGGAAUAUUACAACUUGCAUGCACGUUGAAUGAAGCCCUCAAAUGCUACAAAGAGUGCCAAAAUAGAGCCCAGCUAAAACUGUGGUAAAACUGUGGCUGUUGUAUGCAAACUCAAAUAAAAGUAAGGAUUAUCAGCCUUCCACAUUAACAGAACCCACUGUUGAGGUUCUGAAUCGCUCACCAAGAGGCAAUCAAGUUGGAAUUGUGACUCUCAUGCAUCAAUCCAAUCGACAGAUGAGAUGAUAACACCAAGUCCAGGAUUUAGAACACCUGGGGGCUGUGCUUCCCCUAUCAAAACACAGUCUGUUGGUGAGAUUUGGGCUCUCGUGCAUUGAUUUAGUCCACUGUUGUGACUGACUUGCAUAGUUGAACUCAAACCCACAAGAGGUGUUGACUCUUAUACCUUUAGCAGGAAAAUGUCCCGGAUUGUGAAUUUCUGCUAUUGACCGGGUCCAGCUGGAUCCAGGUAUGAGAGUCAUCAUCUCACCUGUGAGCUGUGACCAUGUAUAUGUCGCAAUUUCACCUGUCAUCAGGAAGCAGACAUGAGAGUCCUAUCACCUGGGUGCUGGACGAAGUUUCGCUCUUGUUUCCCAGGCCGGAGCACAAUGGUGUGAUCUCGACUCACUGCAACCUCCGCCUCCCGGAUUCAAGCGAUUCUCCUGCCUCAGCCUGCCGAGUAGCUGGGAUUACAGAUGAAAAAAGAUGCAAAGAAGACAUAUUUGCUUUUUAUCCACACAUCAUUUCCAAUCACUAUGCUGAGCAAAGUCAAUGUGAGCAGAGCUGAGAAUAGCAGUUUUCUGGCAGGACGGCCACUUCUGAGCAAAAAAUGACACAAUAAAAGUAUAAAUAUUUAAUAGUAAGCUAAUAUAUUUUCAGCAAAUUAAGCAUAUGCAUUAAUAAAAUUAUUGUGGUAUAAU
rnacentral:lncRNA from 1 species